rnacentral:tRNA from 1 species
GGACAUGUGGUGGAGUGGUUUAACACGCCUUACUUGAAAUAAGGUAUGCUUAACGGUAUCAUGAGUUCGAAUCUCAUCUUGUCCG